rnacentral:tRNA from 1 species
GCCUGAGUGGUUCAGUCGGUUAAACAUCCGAUUUCGGCUCAGGUCAUGAUCUCACGGCUCGUGGGUUCGAGCCCCAUGUCGGGCU